UACGGAGGCCACAAGCGUUAUGCGGAAUCACUGGGCUUAAAGCGUGUGUAGGCGGAUCGUUAAGUGCCUUGUGAAAUCCCACAGCUUAACUGUGGAACUGCUUGGCAUACUGGCGGUCUUGAGCCAUCUAGGGGUUGCUGGAACAAACGGUGGAGCGGUGAAAUGCGUAGAUAUCGUUUGGAACGCCAAUGGUGAAAACAGGCAACUGGGGAUGUGCUGACGCUGAGACGCGAAAGCCAGGGGAGCAAACGGG
rnacentral:rRNA from 1 species